AAAAAAAAUACGGGUACAUUGUUUUAGGUUCAUAUGUAAAACCUAAAACCAAACGCUCCCUCUCUGGCAACGUGUGGCCUCUCUGCUCCUGACUCGGAGUAAUGCUGAAGCACUUCGCCUCUCGCUCGAACCCUAAUUUCAUCUUCUCCAGGAGCUUCUCCUCUACGCUUUUCGUCAAAGGCAUAUCUUUCUCAAGCACAGAAGAAACAUUAGCAGAAGCGUUUUCACAAUGCGGUCAGGUCAUUGGAGUGAACGUGACGAUGGACAAAGUCAAACGCAGACCAAAAGGGUAUGCGUAUGUUACCUUCUCUUCCGAGGGCGAAGCCCAGAAAGCUUUGUUGGAAAUGAACGGACAGAUCUAAUGGCAACUCUCCUGUUGGGUAGGGAAUUAGGAAGUAAGGACGCAUUUUAUGAGUCCUUGCAUUUGUAUCUGAGAUACGAGAUAUCGUUGGUGGACGGGCGGGUUGUGAUCCUUGACGCUGUAGAACCCGUAAAAGGCGACAGGGCCAGCAGUAGUAGGAGCUGAUAUAUGUAUCUUUUGUGUUUUUUGGUCUUGCUCUAUUGUAGUUUUGGAACCAAUACCGUUUCUGAUUUGGCUCGGUCUCGGAAUUUCUCUGUAUCUGUGUAGUAUGAUGGCCAUGGAAAAAUUCUUCACGACAUGAGGAAAACAAAAUGUAAAUGAAAUCUCAAUCUGGGUUUGAUCUUGUGAUCUC